AUGGACUGGGUUCCCUUCUACCUCCUGCCCCUGGUUUUCUCCACAGGUCUCUGUGAUGAUUCUGUGCUGACCCAGCCAUCGUCUGCCUCUGCCUCCCUGGGAGCCUCGGCCACACUCACCUGCACCCUGAGCGGGGAGUACAGCACCUACACCAUUCGCUGGUAUCAACAGAGACCAGGAAAGGGCCCUCGGUACUUGAUGUACAUUAAGAGUGAUGGAAGUCACAGGAAGGGGGGACGGGAUCCCCGACCGCUUCUCGGGCUCCAGCUCUGGAGCGGACCGCUACUUAACCAUCUCCAACCUCCAGCCUGAGGACGAGGCUGAGUAUGUCUGUGGUGAGAGCCACACACAGGACGGCCUGUUCACAGAAGCCACAGUGACACAGACAAAAGGGAAGUGA